rnacentral:rRNA from 1 species
GGACUACCGGGGUAUCUAAUCCUGUUUGAUCCCCUUGCUUUCGCGCCUCAGCGUCAGGAAUAAGAUAGAAAACCGCCUUCGCCACCGGUGUUCUUCCACAUAUCUACGCAUUUCACCGCUACUUGUGGAAUUCCGUUUUCUCCUCCUACCCUCAAGAAAGAUAGUUUCAAAUGCUGUUCCGAGGUUGAGCCCCGGGAUUUCACAUCUGACUUAUCUCCCCGCCUACGCGCCCUUUACGCCCAAUAAAUCCGAUUAAUGCUUGCACCCUCCGUAUUACCGCGGCUGCUGGCAC